rnacentral:rRNA from 1 species
UAGGGAAUAUUGGACAAUGGGGGAAACUCUGAUCCAGCAAUGCCGCGUGAGUGAAGAAGGCCUUAGGGUUGUAAAGCUCUUUCGCCCGCGAAGAUAAUGACGGUAGCGGGAGAAGAAGCCCCGGCUAACUCCGUGCCAGCAGCCGCGGUAAUACGGCGGGGGCUAGCGUUGUUCGGAAUUACUGGGCGUAAAGCGUACGUAGGCGGAUGCGCAAGUUGGGGGUGAAAUCCCGGGGCUUAACCUCGGAAUUGCCCUCAAAACUGCACGUCUUGAGACCGAGAGAGGUAAGGGGAAUUCCUAGUGUAGAGGUGAAAUUCGUAGAUAUUAGGAAGAACACCAGUGGCGAAGGCGCCUUACUGGCUCGGUACUGACGCUGAGGUACGAAAGCGUGGGGAGCAAACA